GGCAGCCCAAAUGCUUCUGUAGGGUCAAUGAUUAUAGCUCAGCUGAGGGAGGGGUGACUUCUAGGGGAUGGAAACUUGUUCUUUAGUGCUCAACAAUAACACUGGCACUGCUAUAUCAGGGAAAAAUAAAAUGGGGCUGGCAAGGGAGGUGGCAGCAGAAAACAGACCUAAAUGCAUAAAUAUGUUCACAGGCUUAUGUCAAUAGAAAGGGGCUCUAUACAACUGUACUGGAGAUGUAAUAACACUGAAUUUUAUAAAACAUCUCAGUGGGUUUUUGUUUGGGAAGGCUUGUAAUAUGGCGACUUUAAAAAUAUAGCAUUAAGAGCUCUGUAGAGCACUGCACACAUCUAUCUUACAACUGCACGCACAUUUGCUUUAAGAGGUUUUUUGUUUUUUGGUUUGGUGUUUGGUGUGGUGUUUUUUUUUUUGUGGGUUUUUUUUUUUUUUUUUUUUUUUUUUUUUUUUUUUUUUUUAGUGUUUUACAGUAAAUUAUUCUUUUUGGCUCACAUCCACACAGUCCUCUCCAAUUGUUGCUCUUUGCCAUCAGUGAUGGCUGUUGUAGUUUCUGCAUUCAAUGACCUGCCUUGCUCCUCUUUCUCUGAUAAGUAGUAGCUGUUGGACUGGAGCCUUCCUGGUUCUGCGUGCCAUCUAGGCAGGCGGCAGAUUCGGCAAGUUUGCUUCGUGGGCAAGACAGGCUUAACAAGUGUUCCCUGAGAUGGAAGCAGGGACUUCUACUUUGUUAGUUUGUUGCCAUUUCGUGUCAUCACGCAAAUUCUCCCAGAAGGGGACCUGAGGAAGUUAUCUGGUUCCUUUCUGUGCGCAGGGCAGGAUCAGAUACAUCCCUGCCCUUUUUGGCUGAUGUUUGCUUAACUUGUUUUUGAACUCCUGCAUUGCUGCAAACUCCCAGCUCCCUGGACAACCUUUCUCUGUACUUUCCUGCAUUUGACCACUACAUCUGAUCCGAAAUACAUCCCCUUUGGAUUUACAGAGGACUGUUCUGAGUACAAGUUAACACACAAUUAAGCCUAGACCAGCCGAGCUACAACCAUUUGCUGCUGUGAUCCUUUCAAUUUUCUGCAGGGAAGAGAAAUGCUAGAAAGCUUCACAGAGAUUAUUUGAUAACAUAACUGUUCUGUAAUUUAAUUUAAUCUAAAGAUGAUUGUUUUCACUUCAGGAGACUGAAUUUUGCAUUGAGAGAAAAACUACAUCCAAGAACUAUUACAAUAGUGAUGCAUACACUACGUUUCUUCAAUGCCUGCAACAAGGAGACAACUUUUCAAAGCUGUAUUUCAUAUGUGUAUAAGGAGGGAUAUUAUGUAGCUAUUCGGUGUAAGGCUUUCAUCCUUUCGCAGAUGAGGACACGCGAUUUGGUUGGAGCUGAAACCGAGUGCAGGUCUGGAGAGGCUCUCUACUGUAGCACAAAAAUAAUCAGCAUCUGCAUGAAGUUCUUACCCAGAUGUGGAAAGCCUGCAACCAAUGUGAGACGGGGUUCAUCUUAUCUCUAGUUUUACUGCAAAGAAAUUUUAUCCGGAAACAUUACUUUUGCAGGGUCCCUUCGGUACUGCCAAUCCCCCUUGUUAUUACCAAGGAAAUAUCAGAUCAUAACUAUUCAUGGAGAUCUGAAAUGAAAUCGUCAUGCAAGAAGAACGUGAGAACUGCUGAGCAGACUGUAUUUCCUGUUAUCUGAGAACAACUCUGCAUCCACAAGUAGCUGAAAAUUGGGAUGUUUCUAUGAUCCCGUCACGUCCUUCAGCAGAUACAUUUUGCACAGACCCUUGUACAAAGAGAGAGAUUAAAGAACAAGUGAAACAUUUUCUCCCCUGCAUGUAGACGAAAAUAUAUGCUGCUUAAAAUGAGGGGUGACGCUGGAAAAAUGAUGCUUGAACUAGGAGGUCAUCUUAAAACAGAUGAAAGAAAGUCUAUUUCUUACACAAUGAGCCAUGGACUUCUAGGAUUUAUUAAUGCAGAGGGCAGUGGGUACAGGUACUACCAGCUAGUUCAAGAAGCUGUUGGAUAAAUUCAUGGACAACAGGUCCAUAAAGGGAAAAAGCAGGGUCGUGCUCACUCAACUCCCCAAGCAGCAUGUCCUGCUGCCAUCAACAGAGGCAGGCUGUGGGGUAAGGUUGGCCAUCCAUCUUGCUCCAGCAGCAUGAGUUUGAGACUCAUACGCCUCUCCUCCCCAUCCUAUCUGCCCUGCCCGUGGCUCCAGAGCCAAAGCCACUAUCACAAGGGUAAAAAGGCUCCUUGCUGGGCUUGCACUGUUCUAUAAAACUGGAACUGGCUUGUGGGGAAGUGAAUAAUUGGGGACCCUGGCCCAGGAUUUGUAUCCAGGUUAGACCUCUACCACCCUUGUCCAAGAACAGUUCUAGAGGAAGGUUGGUGAUGGCAAAACAGCCUAGGAACACCUAGUUAUUCCCUCAAAACCUGCUGAGGUUUGCAUCUGAAUUCCUCACAUCCUCUGCUCCAGGAAAGGAGAGGAGGGGCAGACUAUUGGCCACACAUAUUGCCUAUUUUUGCUUUCACUACAUUUGGUGAGGGUUGGAGACAUGAUGUAUUUUCCGCAGCCUCAAAUAAUUCUCAGUAGUGUCACAAAUAGCAAUGUUUCAGCUCUCUGAGGGAUUUUGGACAAGAGUGAAAGACCCUUGAAAUUGGUAUCAAUAAUUCUGCUGCUCAAGCUGAAGGCAAAACUCCAACAGCUGUCUGGGGUGUCU